rnacentral:rRNA from 1 species
GAUGAAUGCUGGCGGCGUGCCUAAUACAUGCAAGUCGAGCGGUAAGGCCCUUCGGGUACACGAGCGGCGGACGGCUGAGUAACGCGUGGGAACAUGCCCCAAAGUGAGGGAUAACCUCGAGAAAUCGAGGCUAAUACCGCAUAUGGUCUUCGGAUUAAAAGGAUUUAUCCGCUUUGGGAGUGGCCCGCGUACGAUUAGUUUGUUGGUGAGGUAAUGGCUCACCAAGACUACGANCGUUAACUGGUCUGAGAGGAUGAUCAGUCAGACUGGAACUGAGACACGGUCCAGACUCCUACGGGAGGCAGCAGUAAGGAAUCUUCCACAAUGGGGCGAAAGCCUGAUGGAGCAACGCCGCGUGCAGGAUGAA